rnacentral:misc_RNA from 1 species
UACGGAGGGUGCAAGCGUUAAUCGGAAUGACUGGGCGUAAAGGGUGCGUAGGUGGUUUGAUAAGUUAAGUGUGAAAUGUCCGGGCUUAACCUGGAGUGGUCAUUUAAAACUGUCGAGCUUGAGUAUAGGAGAGGGUAGUGGAAUUUCCGGUGUAGCGGUGAAAUGCGUAGAGAUCGGAAGGAACACCAGUGGCGAAGGCGUCUACCUGGCCUAAUACUGACACUGAGUCACGAAAGCAUGGGUAGCAAACAGG